AGACACAUUUGCAACAGAAAGGGUUAAACUUCAAAUAAUGGCGCUCUAUCCAUUGCCCACCGCCAUUAUACUCAACAGAAUCACUCCUUUUGCUUGCCGCUUUUUCCCCAAACCUCUCUCUUCUUCCCUCUUCUCCGCCUCCGCCGCCGCCGCGAUUACCGCAACCUUACCCCAACACCUUUCCUAUGGACCUUCCCUCUACAAAGGCCACAAAACUUCAGACCAAAACUCCGAUGAAGAAAACUUCACUAGAGUCUUCGAUAUCACUGCUUUACGAGUCCCUGCAGAACAAUGUUUCUCACUCGAGAGCAGAUUACGCGGACACCUUUUAAAUUGGCCGCGCAUUCGUAACAUUGCUAGGGUUGCCGGUGACGAUAUUGAUGACGAAUUGAAGGAGUUUAUUGGAAAUGAUAUUAGUACUGAUGAUGAAACCCUAACAGUAUUGGAACGGAGAAUUUACGGGAAAGGUGAAGGUGAUGGGGAGAAAAUGUGUUCGGUGUUGUAUAGAGAUAAGCUUGCGAAGACUUUCAAUUCGAUAGGAUAUGUGAAGUUUGAGAAUUUGGCUAAAAUAUCGCGGCCGAAGAAGAAGAAAUGGAAGAGAGAGGAAAAAGAGGGAAAUGGAAGUGAGAGGAGAGGGUAUGGGAGAAGUGAUAUGUCAAUGGUGGAGGUGGUUGAAGAAGAGGGGAGUGGAGAUGAGGAUUUCAGUGGGUUAUUGGGUGAUGAUUUUAGAAGAAGAAAAUGGAGUGGAUCGACGAGGUUAUUGCUAUUGGAUGAGAGGUACGCGAGGAAGGGGAUAGAGGAAAUGCCCGAGGCAAUUAAGGCAGUCCUCAAAGAACACAAUGAGGAGAGUACAAGAUUAAGUUUUGAAAUUGUGAGAUGCAAGUUGACAUUAUUAUACAAUUAUUGGCAAAUGAAUGAGGUCUUAGAAGUCUUGCUUCCACAAGGAAUGAUUGUUCCUUCAGCUUUUGAGACAGUUGGGCAUAUUGCCCAUCUAAACUUGAGAGAUGAGCAUUUCCCAUACAAGAAACUUAUUGCAAAGGUAGUUCUGGACAAGAACAAGCCGAAGAUACAAACAGUUGUCAAUAAAACUGAUGUCAUCCACAAUGACUACAGAACAAUGCAGCUCGAAGUUCUGGCAGGAAAUCAUUCUCUUGUUACUACUGUAGUCGAGAAUGGACUCUAUUUUGAUGUUGAUUUAGCAGCAGUAUAUUGGAAUUCUAGGCUGGCAACCGAAAGACAAAGGCUUCUUAGUUGCUUCACCAACAAUGAUGUGGUUUGUGAUGUUUUUGCUGGGGUGGGUCCCAUUGCAAUAUCUGCUGCGAAGAAGGUCAAAUAUGUAUAUGCUAAUGAUUUGAACCCUAAUGCUGUUGAAUAUCUGGAGAGAAACUGUGUCCAUAACAAACUUGAGAGGAAGAUUGAGAUUUUUAACAUGGAUGGGAGGAGGUUCAUUGACAGCAUUUUUGCAAGUGAAAAAGCUAGGCCAAUUACUCAAGUAGUAAUGAAUUUGCCAAAUGAUGCUGCAGAAUUUCUUGAUUCUUUUAGAGGAAUUUUCAGAAAUAAGCACGCGGAUAAGCAAUUUACCUUGCCAAGGAUUCAUGUAUAUGGUUUUUCGAAAGCUCAGGAUCCUGAAUUCGAUUUUCAUGAGAAAAUCAGGAUUGCACUGUCUGAGGUGGCUUUUGAGGUACAGAUGCACAAGGUUCGCCUUGUUGCACCAGGAAAAUGGAUGUUGUGUGCAUCAUUUGUUCUACCUGAGACAGUGGCAUUUGCUAAAUAAACUCGGACAUUCAUGUAAGCAACAUGGGAAGAGAAAUAAAGCAAGGUGUAGGUGAAGGAGGGAGGGAGGGAAGUCCGUUGACGUUCAAGUGUAGGAGCAUUGCAGCACAAAUAGGAAAGCAGAAUUUGCUGAGAGUGAGCUGUGUCCUUCAGAUAAACUUUGAACAACGCAGAUGUGGACUAGUUUGGAAGUGGGUAUAAAGGUGAAGAUCGAUUGUAGUACUCUACUAUCUAAUUUUGGUUGCCUAAAUAUACGGAUUUGAACGUCUUUUGCAGUUAUGAUGCACCAUGUCUUUUAGAGAAUGUAUAUAUAUACAUACAACUGUAGUGUGUGGAAAUUGUAGCUUUACUGUGGACCAUUAUAGUAGUCAUCUCACUUUUCAUUUUGAACAGCACCCUAUCGGCUAUCUAGACUUUGAAAGAAAUCACAGCAAUGGUAUCCAGUUGUGGAUCUUAUAUUC